rnacentral:rRNA from 1 species
UACGAAGGGGGCUAGCGUUGCUCGGAAUCACUGGGCGUAAAGGGUGCGUAGGCGGGCCUUUAAGUCAGGGGUGAAAUCCUGGAGCUCAACUCCAGAACUGCCUUUGAUACUGAAGAUCUUGAGUUCGGGAGAGGUGAGUGGAACUGCGAGUGUAGAGGUGAAAUUCGUAGAUAUUCGCAAGAACACCAGUGGCGAAGGCGGCUCACUGGUCCGAUACUGACGCUGAGGCACGAAAGCGUGGGGAGCAAACAGG